rnacentral:rRNA from 1 species
AAAUGUAACGGGGCUCAAGCCAUGUGCCGAAGCUGCGGGUUUGACGAUUUCGGUCGUCAAGCGGUAGCGGAGCGUUCUGUAGGCCUGUGAAGGGGGACCCGUGAGGGCCCCUGGAGGUAUCAGAAGUGCGAAUGCUGACAUGAGUAACGUAAAACAGUGUGAGAAACACUGUCGCCGAAAGUCUACGGGUUCCUGCGUAAAGCUAAUCUGCGCAGGGUCAGCCGGCCCCUAAGAUAAGGCCGAAAGGCGUAGUCGAUGGGAAUCAGGUGAAUAUUCCUGAGCCAGUGGGUGGUGACGAAUUCCGUAUGUUGUUGGAUCUUAUUGGAUUGAUCCGGCAUCGAAGGGGUUCCAGGAAAUAGCCCCCACAUCAGACCGUACCCUAGACCGACACAGGUGGACUGGUAGAGCAUACUAAGGCGAUUGAGUUAAAGAUGCUGAAGGAACUCGGCAAAUUGCCUCCGUAACUUCGGAAGAAGGAGGCCCGAUUGGUGGGCAACCAUCAGUCGGGGGCACAGACCAAGGGGUAGCGACUGUUUAUCAAAAACACAGGGCUCUGCGAAGUCCAAAGACGACGUAUAGGGUCUGACGCCUGCCCGGUGCCGGAAGGUUAAGAGGAGGGGUGCAAGCUCUGAAUCGAAGCCCCGGUAAACGGCGGCCGUAACAAUAACGGUCCUAAGGUAGCGAAAUUCCUUGUCGGGUAAGUUCCGACCUGCACGAAGGCGUAACGACUUCCCCGCUGUCUCCAGCAUCUGCUCAGUGAAAUUGAAUUCCCCGUGAAGAUGCGGGGUUCCUGCGGUUAGACGGAAAGACCCCAUGAACCUUUACUAUAACUUUGCACUGGCAUUCGUGAAAGUAUGUGUAGGAUAGGUGGCAGGCUUUGAAGCUUGGGCGCCAGCUCAGGUGGAGCCAACCUUGAAAUACCACCCUUAAUUUCAUGAAUGUCUAACCGCGGCCCGUUAUCCGGGCUCGAGACAGUGCAUGGUGGGUAGUUUGACUGGGGCGGUCGCCUCCCAAAGCAUAACGGAGGCGCGCGAUGGUGGGCUCAGAGCGGUCGGAAAUCGCUCGUCGAGUGCAAUGGCAUAAGCCCGCCUGACUGCGAGACUGACAAGUCGAGCAGAGUCGAAAGACGGUCAUAGUGAUCCGGUGGUCCCACGUGGACGGGCCAUCGCUCAACGGAUAAAAGGUACUCUGGGGAUAACAGGCUGAUGAUGCCCAAGCGUCCAUAGCGACGGCAUCGUUUGGCACCUCGAUGUCGACUCAUCACAUCCUGGGGCUGGAGCAGGUCCCAAGGGUUCAGCUGUUCGCCGAUUAAAGUGGUACGUGAGUUGGGUUCAGAACGUCGUGAGACAGUUCGGUCCCUAUCUGCCGUGGGUGUAGGAGAAUUGAGAGGAUCUGUCCCUAGUACGAGAGGACCGGGAUGGACGUACCUCUGGUGGACCUGUUGUGGCGCCAGCCGCAUUGCAGGGUAGCUAAGUACGGACGGGAUAACCGCUGAAGGCAUCUAAGUGGGAAACCCACCUCAAAACUAUUUCUCCCUGAAGAGUCGUGGUAGACCACCACGUUGAUAGGCCGGGUGUGGAAGUGCAGCAAUGCAUGGAGCUUACCGGUACUAAUAGCUC